rnacentral:rRNA from 1 species
GUGGGGAAUAUUGCGCAAUGGGGGAAACCCUGACGCAGCGACGCCGUGUGAGGGAAGAAGGCUUUCGGGUCGUAAACCUCUGUCAGAAAGGAAGAACCUCCCAAGUCCGAAUAGGGCUUGGGACUGACGGUACUUUCAAAGGAAGCACCGGCUAACUCCGUGCCAGCAGCCGCGGUAAUACGGAGGGUGCAAGCGUUAAUCGGAAUCACUGGGCGUAAAGCGCGCGUAGGCCGCUUUGUAAGUCGGACGUGAAAGCCCUCGGCUCAACCGGGGAACUGCGUUCGAUACUGCGAGGCUUGAGUCCUGGAGAGGGUGGCGGAAUUCCGGGUGUAGGAGUGAAAUCCGUAGAUAUCCGGAGGAACACCGGUGGCGAAGUCGGCCACCUGGACAGGUACUGACGCUGAGGCGCGAAAGCGUGGGGAGCAAACAGGAUUAGAUACCCCAGUAGUCC